GUAGCAUGCAUCACUCUGGAAGCAUUUUGCUUAAAUAUUUAUCAAACCUCUUCCAGGCCAAGGGGAGGAGGGACAAGGCUGGGAUUGAGGACGGGCUGAGGGUAACAUUUAUCUUGCAGGGAGCAAAAGAGCUCAAGCGUGGCAAUGAGAUACUGAUCAUCCCCAGGUCUUUUUCGUUUUCCCAACAAGCAAUGCAAAAGUCACCUCACCCCCAGCUGCUCUGCUUGUAUUUCCCAUCCUUUCUGCAUCCCUGUGAUAAGCAGCUGCCACACACCCUCACCCCACCACCCCUUCCUCCCUCAGCGUGGGACCGACCCUUAUCUCUGCACCGCGUAAUUUGAUUUUCACGGCAGUGGGAGCAUUGGCAAUUACCACAAUAAAAGAGAUUUACAGCCGGGCCUGACACCGUGUCACCCUCCUGCUCAGCCCCCCAGCCUUACAGACACCUGGGGAGUACUCCUCCCGGCACGAUGCUUGCAGAGCUCCUGCAGCACUGGGCCUUGGAGUUCAGGAGUGCUCAGACCUCAGCAGAGAUGAGGAAACAGCAGAGAUCACCCGAAGGGGAACUCAGCCCUUUGCUGUGUGAUAACAUCUCGGCUGUGCUGUGCUGGAGCAGAGACACCAGAGGAGAAAAUAGGAUCCCUGGGAAGACAGCCUGGCUUAUCAGCACCGAGUGGCUUAAAUCAGCACUCAGCCGUGGCAACAAAGUGGGGAUGGAGCUCGUUGGGAGCUGGCUUAAUUGCUUAGUCACAAGGUAAUUUUGUCAGGUCAUUCAUUCCUGGUUGAUUUUGUUAGUUUGCUAAUCAGAUCUGGGCAGCCGUGUAGUGGUGCUGUUAGAUGGGAAGGGGGGGGGGGUUGCACGGUUGCAUUGCUUUUCCCUGCCCGGCUACGGGAGAGCAAACAGCUCCGCACCAUCCGAGCGCUCCGGGCUGCAGGACCCGCCGUGCCCACAAGAGGCUGCUGGUGCUGUUUGCAAACGUCCCCGGUGCCAGCUGCUUUAAUCGAAGGAUAACAAUGAAACAACAUCGGAAGAACGAGGAAGAAGUCGCUUCCUGUCCAGAUGUGGGAGGCGCGGUGCGCUCUGCGAACGUGGGGGUGCUGCAGGGGCGAUCGUGGGGGGCGCACGGGAGGGGAAGUGCUUUAGGCAGGGAAAAGAGCUUCUGUACAGAGAGUGGAGCAACCGAGUGCAGGGCGAGCAGAGCCGGGCUGCUGCCUGGACCCCAAACGUCUGUGCUGUUCCAUUUUGCUCUGAUUUCUGCAGGGUUUUCAGGAGCUGGGACCUGCAUUUCCAUGGGGGUGGAGGGAGAGAAGAAAAUCCUUUUCCAACUCUGAGCAGCCCGAGUGGUUCUGCCGAAGCCAAACCCUCAUUCACAGCACCUGGAGGGCAGAGCCUUUGGCUGG
ensembl:lncRNA